AUUGAACGCUGGCGGCAGGCCUAACACAUGCAAGUCGAACGAGUGGCGGACGGGUGAGUAAUGUCUGGGACACUGCCUGAUGGAGGGGGAUAACUACUGGAAACGGUAGCUAAUACCGCAUACCAUCGGAUGUGCCCAGAUGGGAUUAGCUAGUAGGUGGGGUAAAGGCUCACCUAGGCGACGAUCCCUAGCUGGUCUGAGAGGAUGACCAGCCACACUGGAACUGAGACACGGUCCAGACUCCGACGGGAGGCAGCAGUGGGGAAUAUUGCAAAGUGGGCGCAAGCCUGAUGCAGCCAGGCCGCGUGUAAGAAGAAGGCCUUCGGGUUGUAAAGUACUUACAGCGGGGAGGAGUUACCCGCAGAAGAAGCACCGGCUAACUCCGUGCCAGCAGCCGCGGUAAUAC
rnacentral:rRNA from 1 species